AGUGAACGCUGGCGGCAGGCCUAAUACAUGCAAGUCGAACGGCAGCACAGCAGAGCUUGCUCUGUGGGUGGCGAGUGGCGGACGGGUGAGGAAUACGUGGGAAUCUGCCCAGUCGUGGGGGAUAACGUAGGGAAACUUACGCUAAUACCGCAUGCGCCCUUCGGGGAAAGCCGGGGACCUUCGGGCCUGGCGCGAUUGGAUGAGCCACGUCGGAUUAGCUAGUUGGCGGGGUAAAGGCCCACCAAGGCGACGAUCCGUAGCUGGUCUGAGAGGAUGAUCAGCCACACUGGAACUGAGACACGGUCCAGACUCCUACGGGAGCAGCAGUAGGGAAUAUUGGACAAUGGGCGCAAGCCUGAUCCAGCCAUGCCGCGUGAGUGAAGAAGGCCCUC
rnacentral:rRNA from 1 species